CAGUCGCCGCGGGAAUACGGAGGGUGCAAGCGUUAAUCGGAAUUACUGGGCGUAAAGCGCACGCAGGCGGUCUGACAAGUCAGAUGUGAAAUCCCCGGGCUUAACCUGGGAACUGCAUUUGAAACUGUCAGGCUGGAGUCUUGUAGAGGGGGGUGGAAUUCCAGGUGUAGCGGUGAAAUGCGUAGAGAUCUGGAGGAAUACCGGUGGCGAAGGCGGCCCCCUGGACAAAGACUGACGCUCAGGUGCGAAAGCGUGGGGAGCAAACAGGAUUAGAUACCCCCGGUAGUCCCUGUCUCUUAUU
rnacentral:rRNA from 1 species